rnacentral:pre_miRNA from 1 species
AUUAGCCAGAGUUACAUGGUGAGGCCCAGUUUUUGUUUGUUUGUUUGUUUGUUUGAGACAGGGUUUCUCUGUGCAGUCCUGGCUGUC